GGCCCCGUAGCUCAGCAGGAUAGAGCGGCAGAUUCCUAAUCUGUAGGCCACAGGUUCGAAUCCUGUCGGGGUCACCA
rnacentral:tRNA from 1 species